UGCAUAAACAGUAGAGUGUACGCCGGUAGGUGCGACGCCACACGUCUCUGUUGUUCUAACAAACGCUUUCGGAAAUUAUACGUAAAAAAAAAAAUACAAAAAAGGGGAAACCAUUAUGGCCAGAUGAAGACACUCGUAGGCUAAGAGGCCACUGGCAACUGUGGUAUGACGUGAACGCCCUAGCUACUGAAAUGUGAUUAAGAGCAGAUGGAAAAUAUCUUAAGUGACUUGUACCACACAAGGCGAGCGGGACGAUUAACUGCAUUGUAAAAAAAAAGCAAGCGACAAGCCUCGUGCUCCGCGCCACGCCCGCAUGACGUACCUCAAGAAGUCCUGGAUGGAUUCACUCGAGACCAAACUCUAAUCUUAAUCAAUUCUGAUUCCCACCGACAGCCAAGUUCCGCCCACCUAGGGGCAAAGAGGCGACCCCGCCCUACCUCCGCAGUGCAUGUUGCAGCGGCAGCGAGGGCUUCCAGGACCCCGCCUUUAGGCCUGGACCGCAGCCGGCCGCCCGACCAUGAGCCGCUUCCGCAUUAAGGCCAACGGCGUCCCUACGACUAUGCUUCGCCGCAUCGUGUUGAUAACCGCGGUGGGCAUCCUGUUCGUCGUGGUCUUCUUCGGCUACUCCUUCCUCAAUGACAACUUCCACCCCGCCUCCCUGGGCAGGUACAAGCACCACCCGCGCCAGAAGGUGCACCACGCCGCCGUCAACGUAAAGAACAGCAACAUCGUCCCCGACCAAGCAAAAUUUCACAUGGGAAACAUCUACAUUGACAGCAUUCAUCAUGACGACGAGGACUACUAUGAGGAGUACGACGAGGACUAUGAGGAGGAUGAAGAUGAUGAAGAGGAAGAUGAUGACGAGGACGAUGAUGAUGACGAUGAUGAUGACGACGACGAUGAUGAUGAUGAUGAUGAUGAUGAUGACUAUUACGGUGAGGAUUAUGAUAGACAUGCGUUGAGAUAGUGGGCCAUCUGCAUACAAAAACGAAAAUCGAUUAUCAUGUGUCCGAGAUGUCAAGCGAUACUGGCGAAACCUAGGUAAACAAGGCGCCAGGUAGUAAGCUUCCUUCCCACACCUCUUAUAAACUGGAGAAUCUACAGACACGGUUCUCUACCUGAGUGAUAUAGGUCUUAAGAGCAGCAGUAUAAGUCUGAAACAUAGUUAUCUGCAAUUCUGCGCGCGCGCGCGCGUGUGUGUUUAAGUGCGUGUGAAUGUGUGCGUAAUUCUCCCCUCCAAGCAAGGUUUUCGCUAACAUCUGUAUACUGAUGUGUGUUCUUUUAUGUGAUGUAUAUUUUUUAUUUAAUUCACGUGUGGACAUGUGACAGAUAAAAUGUUAAUGAAUAAAGAAUAAGUUGAUAAAU